rnacentral:rRNA from 1 species
CCUACGGGUGGCAGCAGUGGGGGAUAUUGCACAAUGGGGGAAACCCUGAUGCAGCGACGCCGCGUGUGGGAAGACGGUCCUCUGGAUUGUAAACCACUGUCCCCAGGGACGAAGAUGACGGUACCUGGGGAGGAAGCUCCGGCUAACUACGUGCCAGCAGCCGCGGUACUACGUAGGGAGCGAGCGUUGUCCGGAAUUACUGGGUGUAAAGGGAGCGUAGGCGGGACUGCAAGUUGGGUGUCAAAUCUACCGGCUCAACCGGUAGCCGCACUCAAAACUGCAGUUCUUGAGUGAAGUAGAGGCAGGCGGAAUUCCUAGUGUAGCGGUGAAAUGCGUAGUUAUUAGGAGGAACACCAGUGGCGAAGGCGGCCUGCUGGGCUUUGACUGACGCUGAGGCUCGAAAGUGUGGGGAGCAAACAGGAUUAGAUACCCUAGUAGUC